GACGAACGCUGGCGGCGUGCUUAACACAUGCAAGUCGAACGGAAAGGCCCUGCUUUUGUGGGGUGCUCGAGUGUCGAACGGGUGAGUAACACGUGAGUAACCUGCCCUUUACUUUGGGAUAACUUCAGGAAACUGGGGCUAAUACCGGAUAGGAGCUCCUGCUUCAUGGUGUGGGUUGGAAAGUUUCGGCGGUUGGGGAUGGACUCGCGGCUUAUCAGCUUGUUGUUGGGGUAGUGGCUUACCAAGGCUUUGACGGGUAGCCGGCCUGGGAGGGUGACCGGCCACAUUGGGAAUGAGAGAGGGACCAGACUCCUACGGGAGGCAGACGUGGGGAAUAUUGCACAAUGGGCGGAAGCCUGAUGGAGCAAAGCCGCGUGCGGGAUGAAGGCCUUCGGGUUGUAAACCGCUUUCGCCUGUGACGAAGCGUGAGUGACGGUAAUGGGUAAAGAAGCACCGGCUAACUACGUG
rnacentral:rRNA from 1 species